UUUAGAGGAUAACAGUUAUCAAAAAGAUUUUUCUUCAGUCUGUUAUCAUUUUCAAAUCUCUUUCUUUUAGAAAACACUUUAGUCCGGGUUCCUUGCCCAUUCCUCCUGCAGACAUCCUUCAUUGCAGAUCAGCUCAUUUCCAACCAGGCAUGCUGAAGCUUUUGCAAGAAACGAAGAUGAUAUUUUGGAAUGAAGGGUUGUUUUUAAGGCUCUUAUCUCUCCCCUCCGGUCUCGUACAAUAAUUCCCGAUACCGAUUUGUACCUGUUUGCAUCAAAAGCUACAUCAAAAAGUAUUAUGUCCUGCAUUCUCUCCUUCAUUUGUCUCUGUAUUUUGGCAGUCUUCCAUGUAUGUUUUUCCUUUCCCACUUCUUUAAGUUCAGCUAAAUAAGUCUGUAUUUUCUGUACUAGAUCCCUUCCUGAUACAAACUUUCUUUCAUGCACCAUUUGAUUUCGCGAGUUCCACAUCACCCAUAAGGCACAGCAAAACACCUGACACUGUUCCUUGGUUCCUUUUUUGAAGACCCAAGGCAUUGCUGGAAGACAUGGAGACUGUUCUCUUCCCCGGAGCCACAACGAGGGCAUCUCACAUUUGUGGUUAAUCGUUUGCAUCGAAGAUUGACUAGUGUAGGAAUAUAGUUCCAAGAUAUUCUCCAGGCCAAAAGUAGAAUUUUUGAUGGUAUUUGUAAGCUCCAUAAUUUUCUGUAGAAAUCUUUGAAAUCUGUCUGUAAUAAAUUACUAGGAUCCGAAUUAGCUUCUUGUAAUAGUUUAUAAGUGCUCAUUACUGAGAAUUCUCCGGACGGUUCUCCCUUCCAAACGAGCAUGUCUUCACUGUCUUUUUUGGCAAGUGGGAUCUGUAAAAUUUUUUGCGCAAUGUCUAUUUGAAAGGUUCGAUCCUUGGAAUCCACUGAUCAGUCCAAAUAGAUAUGUUGUUACCUUUCCCAACUCUCUAACAUAUCCCUUGAAUGAGAAGUCCCUUUGCAGCC